rnacentral:lncRNA from 1 species
UAAUUUGAUUUUCAAAAGGAUUCUCUCUCUUUAGUCAAUCAAUUUCAAACAUGUGAAUAGGUAGGAUUUUGUCUUCUCCGUGGUUGUCUUCUUCCAUUUUUUUUCAAAAAAUUUUCCUAAUACAUAUGUGACAACCCCCUUCAUUUAGUAUUGGGUUUAAUCUACUAAGUUCUUCUAAUACUAAUAUGAGAUCUUGGGGUUCAUCUCGUCCUCCUUCAAAAUGUUGGUGACGAUAGACUUGCUAUGACAAUGUAUUGACAAGGUUUUUAUUGCAUCCAGUGGACCACCACAAGUGCAGCAACAAUCUGAUACAUUAUUGAUAUGUUGAGAAGGUUAAAGAGAAGCUAAUUAGAUUAUUUUUUUUCUUCUUAUUUAUCUUUUUUGAUAUAUAUGAAUUCAAAUCUAUAUAUAUAUAUAUAUAUAUAUAUAUAUAUAUAUAUAUAUAUAUAAAUCUGAAUCUUGAUCCGCUGAUGUGGCGCCCUCCAAUGGCCAGCAUUUGCCAAUAUCUAUUUUUAUCUUUUUCUGAUUUAUUUUUUAUUUUUAUCUCAAAACAAAUACAUAAAUGAGUAAAAACAUCACACUAAAUACUAUAACUAAUUACUUGCUCAGUUAUAGCCAAAAAAUGCAGUCCAACCCAUUUAAAACUCAGCUCACUAACAUCACAUUAAUUACCCAAAUUAAAUAGAUUUUAAAUCAAUUUUUUUUAAAAUUACUCACUCCUCAAAUUUGAAAUUGUUAUAAAGAAUUAUUUGUUGAAUUGCUAUCUUUAGACUUUAUGGCAACAUUUAUUGUUAUUUCAAUUUAAAAACACAUUAUGAUUUUGUUAAAAUACUUAUUACUUAUUCAAUCCAUAAAAAUUAUAGUUAUAUAUAAUAUAAAAUUAUUUCUUUCAUCUCCUUUAUUCGUUUUUAUAUUUAUUCUUUUCCUCUUUUAUUUAUUUUUACAAUUUCAUAUUUAUAACUUAUACCUAUUAAAUUUCUACUUUUAAUACUAUCAUUAAUUCUUUUAAUAUUAAAUUUUCAUAUUGAUAACCCCCAAGUAUUUAAUUACAAUAUUUAAGACACUUUAUGAUAUAUUCUCAAAUUUUACCUUUAUAAUUUCAUAAUAUUUUGUACCAUGGAUCCCAACUCAAAAUUAUUCAUUUUAUUUCAAUGCUAAUCUUUAUAUUAUUAUGGGAAUGGGGAAUCCCAUCUUAUUAUUAUAGGAUCAUAUAUUCAUAUUCAACAUAAGUUGAUGAAGAAGACUCUUUGAUAAGAGUUUCAAAAAUAUGCACUAAUUCUGUAUUUCUAUUUUGAUGUAUUCUCUUGUGAUUAAUGUGUGUUCUCUCCAUGUAAAUUAAGAUUUUCUUAACUUUCAUUGUUAAUCUUUAUAUUAUUAUCGGAUCGAAUUUAUCUUGUGGCAUAACUUGAUAAAAAAGGUUUUUGAAUGUUAAUUAGUUUGUCAAAAGGGAUGUGGGAUAAGAGUAACAAAAAUUGUGCAUUGAUUAUGCAUUAUUACUUUCAUGUGUUUUCUUAUGAUUAAGGUCCUAAGGAAAAUAUGUGUGUUGUUUGUUCUCUCCAUGUAAAUCAAGAUUUUUUUUUAUUUCAUUGUUAAUCUUUAUAUUAUUGUAGGAUCGAAUUUAUUUUUUGGUAUAACUCAACGAAGAAGGCUCUUGGAUGUUAGUUUGCCAAAAGGGAUGUCGGAUAAGAGUAACAAAAAUUGUGCAUUGAUUAUACAUUAUUAUUUUUAUGUAUUUUCUUAUGAUUAAGGUCCUAAGGAACUAAGAAAGAUAGAUGUGUUGUGUGUUCUCUCCAUGUAACUCAAGAUUAUUUUUUUUAUUUCAUUGUUAAUAUUUAUAAAUAUUAUUAUUAUUAUUAUAG